rnacentral:misc_RNA from 1 species
AAGUCGUAACAAGGUUUCCGUAGGUGAACCUGCGGAAGGAUCAUUAACACGUAUCCAACGUUAAACCCCCCGUGCACUUUCAGUCCUGCUCUGCUCCAGCAGCAAUCUCUGGUAAAUCAUUGUUGAACAGCGUUUGAUUCAGAGACCUCUGUUGCGGCAUUGAGCGGUAGUUCUAUCGGCAUUGUUUCCCCAAGCAGUCAGUGUCUGACAGUGUCACUGCCUGUGUAAGGAUAGCGCUUCACGAUUUCUGUGACCGAGCACUCGGGCAGAAGCUUUGCCAAAGGGUCCCCAUGCCCCCUUUUUAAUAAACCCCACUACCCUACAACAAAGUUCAUGUAAAACAUGAGCUUCAAAAAAACCGAACAACUGUUGACAAUGGAUAUCUUGGUUCUC